GAAUGGCUCAUUAAAUCAUUUUAUGUUUAUUCGAUGAAAACUAUCCUACUUGGAUAACAGUGGCAAUUCUAGAGCUAAAACAUGCUUACCAAGCUCCGACCCUCGGGAAAGAGCGCUUUUAUUAGUUCAAAACCAAUGGCCGUUGCGAUUGGAAACCAAGUGCUUUACCGCUCAGACACAAUGCCGCUUCACAUAUGAAUAAUUGAAUUAUUAAUCUAUACAUUAGUGAUUUAAAGUUAAUUAGUGUUAAACAUUGAC
rnacentral:ncRNA from 1 species